CGGAUCGUAAAGCUCUGUUGCCAGGGAAGAACGCCUAGGAGAGUAACUGCUCCUAGGGUGACGGUACCUGAGAAGAAAGCCCCGGCUAACUACGUGCCAGCAGCCGCGGUAAUACGUAGGGGGCGAGCGUUGUCCGGAAUUAUUGGGCGUAAAGCGCGCGCAGGCGGCAAUGUAAGUUGGGUGUUUAAACCUAGGGCUCAACCUUGGGUCGCAUCCAAAACUGCAUAGCUUGAGUACAGAAGAGGAAAGUGGAAUUCCACGUGUAGCGGUGAAAUGCGUAGAGAUGUGGAGGAACACCAGUGGCGAAGGCGACUUUCUGGGCUGUAACUGACGCUGAGGCGCGAAAGCGUGGU
rnacentral:rRNA from 1 species